GUGGAUUAGAUACCCUGGUAGUCCACGCCCUAAACGAUGCCAACUAGGUGUUGGGGAAGGAGACUUCCUUAGUACCGUAGCUAACGCGUGAAGUUGGCCGCCUGGGGAGUACGGUCGCAAGAUUAAAACUCAAAGGAAUUGACGGGGACCCGCACAAGCGGUGGAUGAUGUGGAUUAAUUCGAUGCAACGCGAAAAACCUUACCUACCCUUGACAUGCCAGGAACCCUGCUGAGAGGUGGGGGUGCUCGAAAGAGAGCCUGGACACAGGUGCUGCAUGGUCGUCGUCAGCU
rnacentral:rRNA from 1 species